ensembl:lncRNA
GCUCUCCUUCCUUCUGCUCCUUGCUCCUUCUCAGGGUUAACUCCUGUCCUCUUCCCUCUAAAAGGAACUUUCUCUACAAGAGAAUCAGUUUAUCUCACUUUCCAGUGAGACUCUUCCCUGAGUAAUUCAAUCAGAGGACAUUCAGCUGCGUAUAACCCAGCUCUGUGGUGUGCUGUAUGAGUCAAUGCUGCUUCUGAAUGUCUCAAAGAUGCAUGCAUAUCUUCUUGCCAUUCCCAGGACACGAGUACCGUGGAGAGGCUUAGUAAUUCAAUUUUUUUCCAGAAAUCUCUUCUAAAUAGUCUGUCCACCUCAAGCAUGCUGCUCCACACUGCACUUAUGCAGUCCUGGGAGAGCAGCAGAGCAAGUGACAUCAUUGCCAAGCUCAUCAGUGCUGCCAGCUUGUGCCAAGUGCAGAGCAGGUGCCAUCAGAGGAUGGACCUCACCCUCAAGAGGAGUUCUGCUGAAGCUGGCACACCCCAUUCUCUGGAGAUUUCUAGAUUGAUGAUGGAGGAAGCUGAAGGCAAUGUUUCAGACCAAACCUCCAACCUUUAAAAUCAGACUUCUUUCAUCUACCUGCCUGCUGUAGGAAACUCAGCAACAUCCUGCACAGACUUCCCAUUGCAGAAGAGCAAAGACUAACACUUCGUUUGCGUGACAUUCACAGAACAGUUUAUAAGAGUAGAGGAUUUGAAAAAUACUUUAUAAAAGCUCCAAGCAGUCAUUUGGCUCAUUGGCAAAUCUGUCUGACUUCUGGAACCCACAUUUCAGAAACUUCUCGUCCUGUCCACUACAUUUGAAAAAAAGCCUUUGAUUUUUUCACCCUGAUAUCAGUGUCACUUUACAAAAUGUGAAGUAUCAUAUGUCCAAAAGAGUGGUAUCCAAAUGACCUCAUCUGCUUUCACCAAAUCUCCUGUUUCACGGAACUAGGCAUUGUUAUUCCAUGGAUGAUAUGUUCAUAUUGGCCUAAUGAAGCAAGUUCAGACUGAAGUAGUUUAAGACUGAAGUAGAAGGUCUGUACACAAUUGUACUUUCAUCAGCUGAAGGUGACCACACAUAUGACAGCAUAAAAUUUGUAUAAGUUAAGACUACUAUUACUUACUAUAUUGAUAAGAUAAUAGUAAGAUAUUAUAUCAGGGCAUGUUCAAAGUUUACGGAGUUACCCAAGGCACAAACAUUUAAAAUUUAAAAUUUCGUCACACAGAAUAUCCUCCAAGGUGUUGUUGCAUGAAGAUAUAAUAGAUGCAAAGUUAAGCUAUUGGACAGUCAAAUGGGCAAGUUACACAGAAAAUUAAGAAAAACACCAAUCAAACAAACAAAACCCCUUGUAAAUAUUGCUUGCUCUUUUAACAAAGUACAAGAGAGAAAAAAUGACAAAUUAUAAUUAAAAAAUUAGCAGGCAUGUGCAUUAUGCACAUCUGAGAAGGACAGAAUGAAGUCCCCUGCAGGCAGUGCUAAUGCUGUUCAGGUUCAGUUAUUCAGAUUAUGUUGUCUCUUAAUGUUAGCAGCACAAUCUCUGCAUUGGACUAUAAUAUUUUCAUUUGCUUUUGACUCUCUACUCUACUUUUCACCUUCUUUUCCAUCUGCUGUUACAGAACCAUUUCUGAGCUAGCAUGGCCCUGGAGAUGACAAGGGGAGAAACACAGCAAACUGGAGAGAGGCUUCCCUGGUGAGAGGAGAGCUGUGGUAGCCCUGGGGCUGUCAAGCAUGGCUCUGGCUCCAGACGAUAGGCAUUAUAUAGUGACUGAAGAUUUCUGCCUUUAUUCCAGCACUAGUCGCAAUAAUUGGAAAGACUGAUUGCUACAGCAACUGAUCACAAGUAGAUGCAAUUGUGGCACAAUGGAAUGAUCACAGAUAAACUCCAAAGUCAGUGAAGAAAGCCAAGAGAGAUGUCACAAGAAAAUAGCGUAAGAAGAAAAGAGGUUAAAAAGCAGAGGUUCCUGGAAAAAGGCAUCAACAUAAAUUAUGUCACUGUGGGAGAAAGAAGUAAACUGUUGCAAAGAAUUAACUUGAUUAAGUGAGGAGUCCUUCAUUUAUUAAGGACACAUUGAUACAAGAGUAGCAGGUAGAAACGUGAGAAAUGUUCUAUUAAGAUUCAAAUUUAUAAAUACGUUCACAGAUAAGAGGAAAAGCAAAGAAAAGAUAAGCCACUAAGCAGCUGAGGUGAGAAAUUAUUGAGACAUUGCUCUGAGAACGUAUGAAAGUAAGCUGCAGAGAGUAAAGUAAAUCCUAGUGAUAGACAAGAAACAUAUCGCAUUUUUGACAGGGAAAGAAUAGGUUAAAAGUAUUUUCAAAAGCCUCAUGUUUUCAGAUUGACCAGUCUUGACAUGAUGUCAUCAUACAGAAUUUUAAGGAGCUGGUUGAUUAAAUCUCCAUUCAUUAUCAAUUACUUUUGAAAAGUCACAGAAAAUAAAAUGAGAUGUUCAAAACCAAGCAUAGGGCAGACGUGUCAUCUACCUUCAAGGAAAUUAAAUACAUUCAUAUGAAAAAAGACAUCAAGGAACUACAGACAUACUUACUCAUUUCUAUUUUCUGGAAAAAUACUGGAAUAGCUAAAUUAAUAAAUGAUUGCAAUCAUGUAAACGAAAAUAAAGUUGAAUAACAACCCAUGUGGAUUAAUCAGGAGCAAGCUGUCAAGUCAAUCGUAUUUAUUUGUCUGAUAGAGUAACAGGUCAGACAAGGAAAUGACAAAAAAUAGAUGUCAUGGACAUUCAUGUUAGUUAGGAUUUUGAGUAUUUUACACAAUGUGUUCCAAGAAGACUAUGAAAAUAUAGCUGGAAAGCCACGCUCUGACAGUGCUUCUGUGCACAAGACACAGAACUACAGCCAGGCACUGACAUGAUGGAACCAACAGUUCAAUGGACCAGUGGUUCAAUCUCAUCUAUAAAGGUGGCCAAGGGUGAAUCCCUAGGGAACAACAGAAGAUAAAUUAAAAAAUAGAGCAAUGCUUUCUCAGAAUACUCUGCUGCAUUCAAACAGCUUGUGGCUUAGGGACAGUUUGAGCACAGGAUGAUCUCUUUGUACUCUUUCUUUAUGAAUUGGUUGGUUGCUUUUUUGAACGAGCAUAUUUUUCUGGCAUCCAAAACACCCUGUGGCAAGAAAUAGUAACAUCUUAACUUUGCAUUGUGAAAUGAACCAUGUCCAGUUGUUUUGAAUCUGACUAUUUCUGUAUAAUUUGAUUUCUCCUAGUACUUAUGUUGGAAAAGAGAAAAAAUA